rnacentral:lncRNA from 1 species
CACUUUGCAAAUAUAAUGUAUCAUAUCAUGGGCAAUUUAGAAAAAGGCCCGAAGCUACAAGUCCUUCAAUUUCAUUUUUCAUCUAAGUAAAAAUUUAUUAAGAACAAUCGUAACCAAUGCAUCAGGUCCUUCAAAAUUAUUUAAAUCUUAAAGAAAUCUCCACCACUAUGCCAGUUUUAACGACACCACCACCAGAAAAAACAGUGAACUUCUUUAACGCAACAACAAUGGCGAGAUCCAAGAAAGCAAUUUUUCCGAAAAUAGAUUUUUAAUAUAAUUAAUUUGGAAAAAAAGUAUACGAUCAAUCACAAACAUACACAAAUGAUAAACAAGCAGAAGCUACUUCAAACCAUCCCUCCUCCAAAAAAAAAAAAGAAAUAUAAUAAAAAGAAUCGUUAAAAGCUCAUGUUUUUCAUCAAUGAACAAAUAAAAGAAUUAAAUACAGAUAAGAAUUUUUCUCCCGCAGAAUGUUUGACGAAAUAUUCAAUAACUUCCCAAAUAAACACGUCAUAUUCAAAUCUCAAAUAUAUUGACAAGUAAAAAAAAAUUCCAAAAUUUCUACCACCAAAGGGACUCAACCAUGAUCUCGAUCUGAAAGCCGUUCUGGGAAAUUACUAUCCUUACAAGUGAAUUCAAAAUCUCCAUCUGAAGAAGUCUCACGAGAACAAAUUGAUUAAGUAAUUGAAACUAGGGAUGAAAGGCAAGGAUAUCCUUAGAAGCCGAUUGAAAGGCAAGGAUGCCUUUAGGAGUCAGAUGAAGGUGAAAACACCAUUGCAGCAGUAGUUGAGUUCAUUGGAUUAUUGGGAUUGACGCUUGGGUUUGGGACUGAUGAGAACUGUUUGUGGUUGAGAUGAGAGGGACGAGAGAGAUUAAAAGGACGGUAAUCUAAGUCAAAUAGGUAAUCUAAAAUAUAC